AAUUCACACUUUUCCUUUCUAAAACACAUGAUUAAAGUUGUAAAAUUACAGAAAGAGCUUUUGCAUAGUUAUUUUUUCGGGUUUAAUGCCCUCUUAUCGGUUUUCUUGAUCUCUUUAAUCCCUCAUUGGGUGGGGAUGACUUUUUAAUGAUGUCGGCCAUGUUGUGUUGAAGUGUUUUUCUCCUGUCAAAUUGUGUAGUUUUUCUCAAAAAUCAAGUGAAAUAAUGGAUGAAACGAAAGUAAUUUAUCACAUAGACGAUGAGGAGACACCCUAUUUAGUGAAGAUACCGAUUUCGCCGGAAAAAGUGACCUUAGCUGACUUUAAAAAUGUGUUAAAUCGCCCCAAUUAUAAGUUCUUUUUUAAGUCGAUGGACGACGAUUUCGGAGUGGUCAAAGAAGAAAUCAUCGACGACAGCGCACAUUUACCGUGUUUUAACGGACGUGUCGUCAGUUGGUUGGUUUCAGCCGACGGCUCAAAUCAAUCAGAUGGGGGCUCACAGUGUACUGAUAGCGUCACACACCAGUCGGAACGGGUGCCCCCACAAGCCCCCGAAUCGAUCUGCACCGACACUGAGAGCAUCAUCAGUUCGAGACAGGGGCGGCGACACCACAAAUACUCAUCACGGAUCAACGGCCACCUUCCACGGGUUUACGAAACCGCAUCAAUUGUUAGUUCAGACCUGGAAACCACAAGUUUUCAAUCCGAGACCACUGGAAGACACACAGCCCUUUCGGAAUGCUCCAGUGUGAGUCGAUUGCAUGUCGCGGGGCGCAAGCGGCCCCAAAGACGACGGAAACAACGAAUGCAAGCCAUGUCGCGAACAUCCUCAUAUUCCAGUAUCACGGAUUCGACAAUGUCCUUGAAUAUUAUAACAGUGACCUUGAAUAUGGACACGGUUAAUUUUCUAGGAAUUUCAAUUGUGGGGCAAAGCAAUAAAGGGGGCGACGGUGGGAUUUACGUCGGGUCAAUUAUGAAAGGGGGCGCUGUCGCUCUUGAUGGCCGAAUAGAACCAGGCGAUAUGAUUUUGCAAGUGAAUGAUGUUAAUUUUGAAAAUAUGUCAAAUGAUGAGGCAGUGAGAGUGUUGAGAGAAGUGGUCCAAAAACCAGGACCGAUCAAGUUAGUUGUGGCGAAAUGUUGGGACCCCAACCCUAAAGGCUACUUUACUAUACCUAGGACUGAACCAGUGAGGCCUAUUGAUCCAGGUGCGUGGGUGGCGCACACUGCGGCGGUGAGGGGCGAUCCCGUAGCACGCCCCCCUAGCAGUUCAACUGUUUCCAGUACGUCUAUCACCAGUACAAUACCGGCAAACGAACGUUUCCCCGAUUUGGAAGAGCCUCUCACUGUGAAUACCCCCAUGUCGACUGUAGUCCAAGCCAUGCAACGACCCGAUAGCGGUUUAGAGAUUCGUGAUCGCAUGUGGUUGAAAAUAACAAUACCGAAUGCGUUUAUCGGUACUGAUAUGAUUGAUUGGUUAUUAACACAUGUUGAUGGUUUUCAAGAGCGUCGCGACGCCCGUAAAUACGCCUCACAUUUACUCAAAGCCGGAUUUAUAAGACACACAGUGAAUAAAAUUACGUUUUCGGAACAAUGCUAUUAUAUUUUCGGAGAUUUGUGUUCGGCAAUGAGUAAUUUGAAAAUACAAGGAGAUACGGAUUCGGUAGGACCGUUACCAAACGUACCCAAUUAUAUGCCCUAUAGUGGAACGUAUAAUCCAUUAGAAUACAUGCCAAUGCCCUUUUAUACAGCCAGCGAAAAUACGGUUUAUGGGUAUAAUAGGGAGGAGUCAGUGCUCAGCGGAAGCGGGGGCUCCUCGAACGGUUCUGACCACUUGAAGGACGCAGCGGCGGGCCAUAGUAGCGCGUCCGAUAGCGAUUUGACAUCGUUAGGUCCCCGUUCGGCUCUCCCAAUGGCGACCGGAAACGGAAACGGCUCAUCGAACGGUUCGGAUCAAAGCAGCGGGACGCAGGUCGCAGCCCAAUCCAAAGACAUUGCCGGUAGUAGACAAUCAUUUAAGAUAGCUAUGGGAAACCCGUGUGAGAUGUUUGUUGAUGUUAUGUAGGUUUUUGGUGGAUGACAGCGAUUUUAAUUUUAUUUGAUUUUUAUUUUUUUUUUGAUUUGGCUAAAGUAGAGACGCUUCUAAUACACACUCGUUACGAAUUGAGCACUUUCUCACACUGCUUGACAGUUUUAUUGUACAUAAUAACCGAGGAGUUUUAUAUUAUUAUAAAUUAUUUUGUGUAGGUUUUAGUUAACGCUUUAUUGUAUUUAAUAGUUAAGUUUCAAUUGGAUGUAUGUAAAUAGAGUAAAUAGAGUAUUGUACACGCAUGUGGCAUGUGUCAUUUUGUGGUUUUUCAUGAUCAUUAAAACAGUUUUGAUUUUUUCACUAAUUCAUUAUUUAAUUUCAGUUUUAAGUUACCUCUAAGUGCAAUAUUAAUAGCCACACACAAUUUUGCAAUCAAUAAUUUUGCAAAGAUCAAACGGGGGUCGUCAGUUAUCAGUUUACUCAAACCUAGAACCCUUCCACGUGUAUACUGAACGUCAUUUUAUAUCAGCUAAAUGUAUUAUUGUACAGUUUAUUUCAGUAGGUUAGCACUGUUUCGGACAAAAUCGUAUUUAUUUCGUUGUAACACUGCCAUAUUUAGGUGCUUCUCUAUCAAACUUAUUUAUGAUUGUUAAAUUUAAGUAUUUUUUAUUUUGUGAUAUAUUAUUUUAUUUGUAAUAAAGAUUUUAUUAAAUACUAAAAACGAUGCUAUUACAGGGUAAUUGUUUUGGCAUUUAGGCUAAGUUUCUCGUUAUUACUUGUGUUUUUGUGGAGCAUACAGGGACAUUGUAACCGGAAAAAAAACAAAAAAAUCAUUUGUGUGACUGAAAUGUUAUAAUGUAGCCGAAUAAAUUUAUGUGACAUUGAUUUAUGAGCGAAAUAAACAUUAUUAUCUCUA